GCCGAGAUGAUCCAAUGGUAGAGGUACUACGUGGCCACGCCCGAGCAAGACUUUUGUUCGGGAGAGAGUAGUAGGUAUUGCAGGUUCGAUUCCUGCUCUCGGCACCA
rnacentral:tRNA from 1 species